CACGUCAGCGCGCUUUGCUGACGUGGCAACAAAUCGCGUCCUCGAGGGGGCAAUUUGUUUGCCACGUCAACAAAGCGCGCUGAUGUGG
rfam:Gossypium hirsutum cultivar TM-1 chromosome 18, whole genome shotgun sequence